rnacentral:lncRNA from 10 species
CUUAUACAGACAUCAUGGGGCUACCGCCUUAGUUUGUAGUUUCUGAAUAGCUGGAGGAGGGCGUAUUACAGUUGAAUAGGAGGGAGUUGCCAGGGAGCUGCCCAUCCAAUAUCUUCUGUUUGUACAAGUUUUAGUUGGAUACCCAGAGUCAUAGAAAUGAUUUCUUUUCAAUAAUAACAGAAUCUCUAAAGAGAUAAGCCUCCAUCCCCUGGGAGGCCAAAUGAACAACAGUGUGAUAUGAGCUGUUUUAGGAAUGCAAGUCGGUAUCCCGUGAUCCCCAGGGACAAAGAGAACAAGUUUAGGGUUGUUCUUGCGUGUGGAAGGAAGCUAGAGAGGUUCCACCUGUCGGAAUUGUCAUGCAUCCUCCUUUAUGGACGGACCAGCUAUGAGCUACUGCCUUUCCAUCAGCAGAUGGUUCAAAUGAACCCAGAGAUUAGGUCUACAGAAAAUAUAGGUCGCAGCAAAGGAGAAAUUCUACGUGAAAGUAGUUAGCACAGCACUCAGCAUAUGGUAGGGAUCCUAUAAAUAUUAAUUUUUCCUCACAUAUAAAAAUUCCAAUUUGCAGGGUAAUCUCAGCUUGUAAAGAAGUGAAAGUUAGAGUGGUAGAUUUGUCUCCAGAGAUGGUGACAGCACUCUCUGCCAUCACACAUGUUCUUUUGUAUUGUGGCUUUGCUGUCUCUCCUUAAGAAGAGUCUAUUUCCCCUUCCCUUGAAUUCAGGCAGGUCCUGCAACCUUUUUGACCAAUAGAAGUUGGCAGAAGCAGGAGCACACACGGGCGGGCUUGUGAGUGAAGCCUUCUUGGCCUCCCAGCCAAGCCCAGGCACCAGCUGAAUGCAGCCGAGUGAAUUAUCCCAGCCAACCUGCGUGAAGCAGAAGAAACAUCAUCCCAAAUUCUAGCCCCAGAAAAUCAAGAACAAAUAAAACCAUGGUUGUUUGAAUCUGCUACAUUUUGAGAUUGAUUUUUUGUUUUGUUUUGUUUUUCAGAUGGAGUUUCGCUCU